rnacentral:misc_RNA from 1 species
UUGAAUAACUUGGUGUUGAGCUGGCCCUUAGUUGGGCAUGUGCUCGCAUCAUAUUAUUUAUCUAUCUCUUGUGCACCUUUUGUAGUCUUUGGAGUGUUCGCAGUCAAUGCGGUUUUGGGUCUUGGGCUUUGCUGCCCUUUGCCCUGUUUGCUUCAAAGGCUAUGUUUUUUAUACACACUAUUUGAAGUUACAGAAUGUCUCUUAUUGGCUCUCGAGUCAGUAAAUCUAUA